rnacentral:lncRNA from 1 species
GAUGCCACUGGCAGCUCUCUCUCCCUCCCGUUAUCCAAUCCCGUCUGAACACCCUCGACCCUAACCAAUCUCUCUCUCUAUCUCUACCCCGCCUCCGUCCGCACCUUCAAGGACUACUCCUACUGCGUCUACUCCGUCUCCGGUGACUGUACUGCACACGUCUCGGACAUGCGUGAGCCUAGAUCCACCAUUAUCAUCCCGGUGCACAAGUUCGAGAUCCUCUCUUGCGAUUCGAACAAGUACGACGACUGCGUCAUCGCCACCGUCUUCGUCGACAAAUCGAUCAAGGUUUGGAACGUCUGAUCCAUUGGAGCUCCGAUUUCGGUGCUCAACGGCCACAGCUACCCCUUCAAAAAAGUCAAAUUCUCGCCGUACCGACAAAGCUUGAUGAUGUCGUGCUCGUACGACUUGUCGGCGUACUUGCCGUUGCUUCAAUACAAGGACUAGACACUGGCGAUGGUUCUGAUAGCUACAGCUCCGGCCUUAGAUCCAUGACUGAUCACUUAGGGUUCCGGUCCUCCCAUUCG